rnacentral:lncRNA from 1 species
GUCUCGAUCUCCUGACCUUGCGAUCUGCCUGCCUCGGCCUCCCAAUCAGUUUUAUUUUUUAAGUGCCCUCAAAACUGUGACUAACCAUGAGCUCCCUCACAAUCCUUUAGACUGUAAUGACAAAUGUUGCAUUCUUGAUAAUUUUCAGGAAAUGUGAAAAAAAAUUAAGUGGUAUUUUUCCUAAAUUUUACAAAAAUUUUAGAGUAUGAUUCAAACACCACUUCAAAUGUGAUUCUUUUUCCAUAUGUCUCAGUUUAGAAGCCACGUUCCCAAUUCCUUGGACAUCUUCUCAAGCUGAAGUAUCAACAACCAAGUCUGGAGAAAUUUGCUCCCUGCAGGCACAGGGCCAUGUGCAGCCACUUGGAUGUGUGCUGGGUACAGAAGCAAGGGGGCUGGGGCCUGCUGUCUGCUGCCCUGCCCGGCCCAUCACCAGGUGUGGAUGGCCCUGGAUGUGUGCUAAUGUGUUUGAUUGAACCUCAGAUUCAUCCCAGCAUUUCUCAGUGUGCUCCGGUAAUGACAGAUGAUGUUUUCCUUGAGUAUCUUCAACUCUUACCAUUUCAAAACAUAAUGCUCUCUGCUUUAUUUUCCUGUCAGAUCCUAUGUUCCUUAAAGGCUGAGACCUUGUGAACCAUUUUGUGUCCUCCUCCAACAUCUGGCUGGAACAAUGUUUUGUACCCAGUGAAAUCUCAAUGAAAUUAUUGAGUGAUAAAUGAAUAUAUCAACAUCUUCUCUUCCAAAGAUUCUCCCCCCUCCAUGCUUCCUUAUUAUCCUUAAUUUUCUUCCACAUGUCCUAAGCUCUGUUACUGUGUAGUAGCAAAUCAGAUCAGUUCCAGGCAACUGAGGGCCUGAAGGAACUUGCCAGAUUCAUCCCACUGUCUGUAGAACUCUGGAGAGGGCAGGCCUAAGGCGAGGAUAUUGGUGGGAUGGCCACAGACGUGGUCAUAGGAGGGGAGGAGAGGCAGUAGGUGAGAAGAGGAGAUGGGAGGAAGUAUUGUGAGGUGGUUAAGAACAGGCUUUGAAGCCACCUGCCUGGACUCACAUCCCAAGCCUGCAAGAGGUAGGUCCUCUCCUGCUUCAGUUUCCUUGGGUGCAGAAUAGAGAUGAGACAGUACAGUCCUCACAGAGUUGCUAUAAGGAUUAAAAGUCUUAAUAUGGGUAAGUAACUUUGAUAGUGUUUCUGGCAUAUGCUAAGCACUCAUGUUUCUUGGUAUUACUGGAGAGGGGCAAUUAGAAUUUAAAGGAUACAGAAGUGGCCAGGCAAAUGAGCUUGACAUUUGUCUAUCCAUUUUUAGCUCUCAAUUCAUCAAAUGUUGUCCUGAUUCCCAAAUAAAUCUGUCUCGCACAUGGCAGUGUAGACAGGAAGGGGAGAAAAGCAUAUGGAGUCAGACAGACCCGAGAUCCAGUCCUGUCUUCUCUGCUGACUGGCUCUGAAUCCUUGAUGGAGCUCCACAAAGCCCGUCUGAGUCCCAAAUUCCUCAACUGGAGAAGGCUGGGGAUACUAGAGAAGAAAAGCAAAAACACACAGCAUACAACACCAACCAGCUAAACAGCCUGAGGAAGUCAGCUCCUCUCUCUCUCUCUCUCUUCUCAUAUAUGUUGAAUAAAGAAGCUCUGCAAUGAUUUUGGAAUUUAAUGAACCAACGCCUUAUAUUUAUUUCUCUAAUCCAAGCAUCCAAAAAAAAUAGAAAUACUAGAAAUACUGAGAGUGCACUGACUUUGUUGAGAUCACACCAAAAGUCAAGGCCCAUCACAUCCAGGUCAGGGCACUUGUCUCUAAUGAUAUGAGAGGGCGUGUGGAAAAAGCACUGGUGCCUGGGGAACCUGACCCAGCACAGGAGGUGCUACUUGGCACGAGGCUCUUCCAGCACCACCAAAAGCAUGGAGCAUCACAUACAAGCAGGUGUUCCUUUGUUUGUUUUUGCUUUUCAGUAGGAACUAUAAGGACAGUGGUCUUUGCUCUGCUUGUUUGGUUUCGUGUUGCUUCUUUUUUUCCCAGAUCACCCUGAGGGAACACACUUGUGACCACACAUAAUUGGUACUAUUUCUGAUGAUGAUGUUUGGAGAUUAUUCAUGUACGAGGAAUUUUUAUUCCUGAGAAUGUCAUUGAAAAGACAAGCUGCUGUCAAAAUGAUAGAAAGGCAGAUGAUGUGUGUCCAAAGCUCUGACUCUCCUGAGAGUUCAAAGGAAAUUCCAGGAGGGCACAGGAUACACAAACGCUCCUGUGUGUGACCAACAAGCACAGUGACUGCCAGAUGUGGUCUACUGCCUGGUUGGCAGUGCUUGCCUUUCCUGGCAGAACACCAUCAAGGAAGGAGACUGACAUGAAUGAACACAUGUAUUUCUCCAGAACACAGGUCACCUGUGUCAUCUUGAACUUGAGAAAAUGGUUUUUCCAAUAUAUGGUAAUUGAGUUUGUUUUGAAAUAAAACCAGU